CUCAAGGAAGAGACUUCAAGUCCCACCGUCAGCACCCAAAGCUGAAAUUCUACUUAAACUACUCCUUGA
rnacentral:tRNA from 1 species